AAUAGCAGAAUUCCAGUUGAUCCUGCUGGAGAUCACUGCUAGAAGGAUUCGACUUAGACAUGCAAGUCUAUGUUUUCGGACAUGGCGAAAGGCUCAGUAACACGUCAAUAAUCUACCCUGAAGUGGGGGAUAAAAUCGGGAAACUGAUUGUAAUACCCCAUAAAAGAUAGAUGCUGGAAGGCGCUUUCUUUGAAAGUUUCGGCGCUUCAGGAUGAGUUGGCGGCAGAUUAGCUUGUUGGUAGUGUAAAGGACUACCAAGGCGAAGAUCUGUAAGGGGGAUGAGAGUCCUAGCCCUGAGAGGAACACUGAGAUAAGGGUUCCAGCCCUACGGGGUGCAGCAGUUACGAAACCUCUACAAUGCACGCAAGUGUGAUAGGGGAAUCCUUCGUGCAAUCCAUUAGGAUUGCUUUUGUGGAGUGUAAGAAGCUCCAGGAAUAAGGGGUGGGCAAGACCGGUGCCAGCCGCCGCGGUAAUCCCGGCGCCCCAAGUGGUGAUCACGAUUAUUGGGCCUAAAGCAUCCGUAGCCUGCUUGGUAAGUCUUUGGUGAAAUUCGGCAGCUUAACUGUCGAGCGUGCUGAAGAUACUGCCUCGCUUGAGACUGGGAGGAGUCAGGGGAAUUCCGUGGGGAGCGGUAGAAUGUUUUAAUCCUCGGAGGACCAUCAGUGGCAAAGGCGCCUGACUAGAACAGGUCUGACGGUGAGGGAUGAAAGCUAGGGGAGCAAACAGGAUUAGAUACCCUGGUAGUCCUAGCUGUAAACGCUGCUUGCCAGAUGUUGCAUAUCUUUCGAGGGUGUGCAGCGUCGUAAUGAAGAUGUUAAGCAAGCCGCCUGGGAAGUACGGUCGCAAGGCUGAAACUUAAAGGAAUUGGCGGGGGAACACACAAGGGGAGUAUGCUGCGGUUUAAUUGGAUUAUACGCCCGGAACCUUACCAAGAGCGACAGCAGGAUGAAGGUCAACCUAAAUGGUUUACUCGACACGCUGAGAGGUGGUGCAUGGUCGCCGUCAGCUCGUGUUGUGAAAUGUUCUGUUAAGUCAGACAACGAGCGAGACCUGUGCCCUUAGUUGCAACCUGUCUUUUUGAGAUGGAGCACACUAAGGGGACCGCAUUCGAAAGGAUGAGGAAGGUGCAGGCGACGGUAGGUCUGUAUGCCCCAAAUCCCUUGGGCUACACGUGGCAUACAAUGGUCAGAACAACGGGCUGCAACUCCGAGAGGAGGAGCCAAUCCCUUAAAUCUGAUCUCAGUCCGGAUCGAGAGCUGCAACCCGCUCUCGUGAAGCCGAAUUCCCUAGUAACCGUGCUUUAGCAUAGUGCGGUGAAUACGUCCCGGUUCCUUGCACACACUGCCUGUCAAGCCAACCGAGUUGGGUUGGGAUGAGGAUUUAGUUUUUGCUAGAUUCGAAUCUUGGUUCAGCGAGGCGGGCUAAGUCAACACAAGGUAUCUGUAGGGGAACCUGCAGAUGGAUCACCUCCUUUAU
rnacentral:rRNA from 1 species